ACAAAACUUAAAACUAAUCAAACUUAGGUGAACCAAUUAUAGAGAACAUAACCCUUGUAACCAAUCGGGAAAAGAUGCUUUUAAAUCCCAGAAAAAAAAAUUAAGAGGAGUUUUUUAAAAAACCAUCAUUUCAAUUAUUUUCCAGUCUUACAUUUGGAUUAAACAGAAAAUAUAAGUAAAAAUGCCAACUUUCUAAAAAAACUACAACUAUUUUUACAAAUUUCCAUUACCCAAUGCUGAAAAAUGAGAAUCACGAAGCAAUGAAGAACGGAACACGCGAGAACCAAAAAGUUAAAAACAACACGUAACCAUUUCAAAGACCCAAAAUCCUGCAAGGACAAAAAAAUCCCAUAAAAUCAGUACAUCAGCACUCCCUGCAAAACCCCAAAAUCAGAAAAUUAUAAAAAGAACCCAAAAUCAGUGGCAUGGUCCUCGUUUCUCCAUCAUUCAGUAGCUAAUGACCUAAUGGAAAAGAACCCAAAACAUACAGCUUAAAAUAUGGAAAGUGCUUAUAAAAGCUCAUGAAUAACGUUCAAAGCCUGCAUAGAAAUGGUAUAGCGCAGAUAACAACAAACAAUAAAACUAUGCACAGUAUAACCUAAAUCCGAUAUGUUGCAUUCCCCACACACAGAUUGUUCAAAAUUAAUUUCGUCUCCGUCUUUUUUCAAAUCUGAUAAAAUCCCCAAAACACAAAAAAUAGCAGCUAACUAUUUUUUGAACUCUGUAAACAACGAUAUGCAUCUUAACCCAUUUAACAUAUUCAUAAAAUAACAUCAAACACAUUUAUGCAUGAGAUAAUAUAGAAGUGAAGUCUCACAACUUUCAUAAAAAAUUAUUACUUUGUUAGAGAAAGGCUUGAAAAAAUAUGUAAAUUACUCACCUCUAUUACAAAAAUGUUACAACAGUAGACAAAAAAGGCCAAAAAUACCAAAAGCCGCACCUCCUGAAAUAAAAAACAUAACCAAACGACACAUUCUCAGUAUCUAAACGAUAUCCAGAAAAAAAGAAAUGAACAGACGAAACCCAUGUAAAUAUACAGAACAAACCAAAAAAAAAAAAAAGAACUGAAGCCAGUAAGAAGAUCACAAAUCUGAUAAAGCAAAAGGUAACAUAAUCUAUAUCGAUUUAAUUAUCCAUCCAAAAAGACAUUUGAAUGAAGAACAUUUUUAAGGAUCCAAACAACCAUUAAACUAAACAAUUAAAAGUAAAAACAGCAAAGCAUUCAUUGAAGAAAUAUAUAUAUAUAUAUAUAUUAUAACGUAUUUUGUUCUUUAUACCUAAAAGAAAAACAUUGGCUUUCUUGUAUGCACUGAAGUAUGCAUGUGUCGGAAAUUUACAAUCUAUAGAGACUCAAUCUCAGACUCAAAAAGACAUCUAAAGGAAAAGUAAUAAGAAAAAUAAGUAGUGGUUUUACCUAUACUCCAUGUGUGGACUCCAAUUUUCAAUCACAAUUCAAAAUUCAAGAGGCCUAUAAAUCAACCACAUAGGAAAUGAUCAGUGGAAGAAAAAGAAAAACAACUGAAGCCAAAAUAGCAUCUAACAAAUCAUUUAGAACCAUCACAGAAAACAAUUUUUGCAUAUAAGUAAUUUAAAGGAAUACCAUCAGGUCAUGCAUAUAUACAACGUACCCAAUUAGAUAAGUAGCACAUCAACAAUUGAUGAUCAAAAAGUUAGUCAGCCUCAAUUGCUUGAAUCUAAUUAACUCAAAGAUAAUAAACAGUCCAUUUAAUGCACGGGCUGACUAUCAAUUUUAUAAAGCUAUAAUUCUGUGCAGUUCAAAAACCAAGUGGAAGAAUAGGCAAAAACUAUCUCAUCGCCUGUAAAUGUAAUUAACUAAAUAUUAAACUUCACAGCCACAAAUAAACCUAAAUUCCUCCUAAAACUAUCUCAUUUAAGCUUGAUUUUACUAUAAUCUAUAAGUGUGGUAAAAAAUGGGAGGCCAAACGAUUUGUUAACAAAAAAGGUAGACAUAAAAGUAAAAGGAACAGGGCAGACAUUAGUUGAGGAGAAGCUAAUGUCACCUUGAAUUGACGACAAACAGUUCUUAUCUUCUCGAAUUAACGAAGAUAAGUACCAUUUUUCUUUAAUUCAAGGUAAUAUAAAAAGAAAUUAUACCUGUACAGUGUUCAGAUGUAGCAAUCCUAUGCAAUCGGCCAAAUGAUGUGUGUCCUCUCAAAGAUCUGUAUAUCCAUUACAGACUAAUCUUCAGUCUUGCAGAAAAUGAUAUGUUGACUACAAUUUCCCAUACUACUAAAAAACACAAAUAAUUCUAUCUACAAACCAAAUAAUAUGUGCAACUUUAUGCUACAAUGGUAGAAUAAGAUGGUUGUACAGGACGACACAAAGAUUGAGACUUUUUUUUACUUCUAAAAUUCUACACACUUUCGAGCCCUAAAUUUUCCCGGAAACAAAAAAAAGUGAAAGAAGUCGUACCUGGUUUGAGAGAGUGGGACACCAUCGGCGAGUUUGGUGUAGCAGUGAUGGCGGAGAUCUCUGGUGAGAAAGCUAAUAAGAUGGACAAAAUCAUUGAACAAAAAAAACCUCGCUUUUUAAAAUUAAAGUCAACAAAAAUUUGAACAAAGAAAAGAGAACUCAAACCCGAAACAAAUAAGUCGGAGAACUCGCCAGGAAACCCAAAGUUUCUGCAGGAUUGGCGAUUUCCUGAAAACCAAGCUUUUGUAGGUUUAAAAUUUCUUCCCUAAGGCAACAGAUCCAACAUUCCCAACUUUAGCUAUUUCAGCUACAUAAUAGAAAGAAAAAAAAAUUUAUAUAAUUAACUAAUCUGAUUUAAGAUUAAUCGAAAAGCUUGGAAAUUUCAGCUUUAAAAUUACAUGUCAGGCUGCAAAUCUAAUAAAAAGCGUAGAAUUUUAAAAAUGCUGACCUUAAAUACAGAGGCCUUCGCAGGCUGCAAAGAAGCGUUAGAAACCCGAAAAACCGGAUCUCCUGAAACCAAAAACAAAACCAAAUUAACCAUCAUCACCCAUAAUUCGAAGCCACAAACAUAAUCCCCAAAAUUACAACCCAAAAAUUUAAACAAAAAAACCCAUUUAUAAAUCCAAAUUUACACUCCCAAGUGCAAGACUCUAAGCUCCAACUGUUCUUUCUCAACUUUAGCUAUUUCAGCAACAUAACAUAAAUAAAAAGGUCGUACCCAGUGCACAAGGCUCCCGCUUUACGCAGGGUCUGGGAGAGGUGAAUGUCGGCUAGCCUUACCCCCAUUUUAUGGAGAGGCUGCUCCCAAGUCUCGAACCCGAGACCUACCGCUCAUGGGCGAAGACACUUGCCAUCGCACCAAGUGCGACCUCUAGCAACAUAACAUAAAUAAAAAGAUCGUACCCAGUGCACAAGGCUCCCGCUUUACGCAGGGUCUGGGAGAGGUGAACGUCGGCUAGCCUUACCCCCAUUUUAUGAAGAGGCUGGAACAUAACAUAAAUAAAUAAACAAAAUUAAUUUAACUAUAAUUAACUAAUAUGAUUUAAGAUUAAUCAAAAAACUUGGAAAUCUGCUUGAAUCCAAUCUCAAAAUUGAAAACGAACACUUCACUUUUACAAAAGUUGUACAAAGCAAAAAAAAAAAAACAGACAAAUCAAAGUCUCACAAAGGGCCACAACGACAGCAAAAUUGCAACAGAAAGAGGAAAAAUGUUCAAUCAAACCAUUGGAUAACUCUUCUAAGGCAGCCAAAAAAAAACCCACAAAUUCAAAACCACAAAAAUCCAAUCUAAAACAUCGAUUCACAGACUGAGAUGCACAAAAUGAUAUAUUAACAAAUCCAAAACGAAAUACAAAAAUUAAGAACCAACAAGCAAAAAAAUACUGAUUAUCCCCUGCAUACGUGAGCACACGUUCAAAAAGCCUCUCAAAGGCUGAGAUUCAACUUUCAAACAUAAAGACUUUAAGCCACAAUUGUUCUUUCUUAACUUUAGCUACUUCAGUUACAUAAUCGGAAAAAAAAAAUUAUUUAAUUAUAGUUAACUAAUCUGGGUUAAGAUUAAUAAAAAAGCUUGGAAAUUUCAGAUCUAAAAUCACACCUCAGGCUGCAAGUAGAAUCAAAACCAUGGAAUUUCAAAAUCACUGACCUUAAACACACAGGUCUUCGCAGGCUUCAAAGAAAAGUCACAAACUCGAAAAACCCAAUCUCCUGAAAUCGAAAACAAAACCAAAUUAACCAUCAUCACCUAGAAUCCGAAGCUACAAAACAAAAUUCCCAAAAUCAAAACCAAAAAAUUUGAACAAAAAACUCAUUUAAUAUCCAAAUUUACACUCCCAAGCACAUAACAUUCAAAGCAGACAAUUACCCAAAUCAAAUCGACAGCAGGAGAUGCAAUCUUUUAUGGGCUUCAAAUUUUCUUCAAACCGAGACCAAAUUCGCUAGUUUUCAGCAAGAGAGCGUUGCCGUUUGUAACCCCCGAUGAAAAGAUCCAAACAAAUUUGACUAACAGUAGACAGAGAGAGAGAGAGAUAGAGAGAGAGAGGUGAAAAUUACUCGCUGGUGACGAAGCUAAUGAAUUCGGAGACGCAUUCCUGGACGGUGUUCGACUGAUCGGCACGAGUAGAGACACCAGAUCAGAAAGACAGAAAAAUUAGGGUUUGGGAGAUAAAGAAACUGGGGCAGAGAGAGAGGGAAAGAGAAGCAGAAAAGAGGAUAAUUUUAUGCAUUUUUUUUAGCCGCUUUGAAUUUUUUUUGGCCGACAGGCAUUUGCGUCCGAUUAUUUUUGUCGAAGCCGGUGACACCAAAACCGGCCUCCGGCUUUCGGACCAGGAUUGUCUGCCCCUUCAUUUUCCCUGCCAUGU
rnacentral:lncRNA from 1 species